UACAGAGGCCUCGAGCGUUGUUCGGAUUCAUUGGGCGUAAAGGGUGCGUAGGCGGCGCGGUAAGUCGGGUGUGAAAUCUCGGAGCUUAACUCCGAAACUGCAUUCGAUACUGCCGUGCUUGAGGACUGGAGAGGAGACUGGAAUUUACGGUGUAGCGGUGAAAUGCGUAGAUAUCGUAAGGAAGACCAGUGGCGAAGGCGGGUCUCUGGACAGUUCCUGACGCUGAGGCACGAAGGCCAGGGGAGCAAACGGG
rnacentral:rRNA from 1 species